rnacentral:lncRNA from 1 species
AGGGGAGGUCUCUUUAAAUAGGCAAAAAGAUUGAAUCCUAUUCAAUCUCAUAAUACAAGUCCUACUUGCAUUAGAUUUCUUAAUAACUUAAGUUAUUCAACUUCCAUUAAGAAUCAUAUUAGGUGUCAACUCUUGGAGCUCUUGCACCUAUAUAAACACAUCCCAAAGUGCUCCCAAGGGAUGCCCCAUAUAAGAUCAAAAAGUCCUCUAAUCAUGGAACACAUCCA